rnacentral:rRNA from 1 species
CCUACGGGUGGCAGCAGUGAGGAAUAUUGGUCAAUGGCCGUAAGACUGAACCAGCCAAGUCGCGUGAAGGAAGAAGGACCUAUGGGUUGUAAACUGCUUUUAUAGGGGAAUAAAGGGAGCCACGUGUGGAGUUUUGCAUGUACCCCAUGAAUAAGGAUCGGCUAACUCCGUGCCAGCAGCCGCGGUAAUACGGAGGUUGCGAGCGUUAUCCGGAUUUAUUGGGUUUAAAGGGUGCGUAGGUGGUUUUUUAAGUCAGCGGUGAAAGUUUGUGGCUCAACCAUAAAAUUGCCGUUGAAACUGGCAGCCUUGAGUGUGUUUGAUGUAGGCGGAAUUCGUGGUGUAGCGGUGACAUGCUUAGAUAUCACGCAGAACUCCGAUUGCGAAGGCAGCUUACUCCACCAUUCCUGACACUGACGCUCGAAAGCGUGGGUAUCAAACAGGAUUAGAUACCCUUGUAGUC